AAUAUUGCACAAUGGAGGGAACUCUGAUGCAGCAACGCCGCGUGAGUGAAGAAGGUUUUCGGAUCGUAAAGCUCUGUCAUUGGGGACGAAAAGAUGACGGUACCCAAGGAGGAAGCCCCGGCUAACUACGUGCCAGCAGCCGCGGUAAUACGUAGGGGGCGAGCGUUGUCCGGAAUUACUGGGCGUAAAGGGUGCGUAGGCGGCCCUUUAAGUCAGAUGUGAAAGCCCGCGGCUUAACCGCGGAACUGCAUUUGAAACUGGAGGGCUUGAGUGUCGGAGAGGGUAGUGGAAUUCCCAGUGUAGCGGUGAAAUGCGUAGAUAUUGGGAGGAACACCAGUGGCGAAGGCGACUACCUGGACGAUAACUGACGCUGAGGCACGAAAGCUAGGGGAGCAAACA
rnacentral:rRNA from 1 species